UACGUAGGUGGCAAGCGUUGUCCGGAUUUAUUGGGUUUAAAGGGUGCGUAGGCGGCCCUAUAAGUCAGUGCUGAAAUAUCCCGGCUUAACCGGGAGGGUGGCAUUGAUACUGUAGGGCUUGAGUAAAGUUGAGGUUGGCGGAAUUGACGGUGUAGCGGUGAAAUGCUUAGAUACCAUAAAGAACACCUAUUGCGAAGGCAGCUUACUAAGCUGUAACUGACGCUGAGGCACGAAAGUGUGGGGAUCAAACAGG
rnacentral:rRNA from 1 species